rnacentral:tRNA from 1 species
CAGGGAGACAACAAAAUGUUUAAUAUUAUUAUUUUGUCACCUUAGGUCGAUCGGUAUCUCACGUUCUUAAUUUAUUAAGAAUUUCAUUUCCUAAGUUUUUCUAGGUCACACCCAUUAUUUUUCCUGGGCCAUUAGCUCAGGUGGUUAGAGCGCACCCCUGAUAAGGGUGAGGUCCCUGGUUCAAGUCCAGGAUGGCCCAUAUCUCUAUGUUGGGGGUAUAGCUCAGUUGGUAGAGCGCCUGCUUUGCAAGCAGGAUGUCAGCGGUUCGAGUCCGCUUACCUCCACUGAAUACCACCUCUGCCAUAAUUUGUAAAAAGGAAAUAUUUUGAGUUGUGAUCAAAAUCUGAACGAAUCUAGCUUCCUAAUGAAAUCAUUAAGAUGCUGGACUCAUUGAAGUAAUUUCAUUGUUUUCAGAGAACCUUGACAACUGCAUAGAUUAUUUUUAAAGACAAUAAGCAUCUUUUAAUGACGCAGAUUUAUUAUUUGUGCGAAUGCAUUAAUAACAAUUCUAUUAAGCUGAUGCUUCAAUUUUUGAAGUUAUU